UUUUUUCUUUUCUGUUAAAUCACAGCUCCUUUUGACUCUUUUGAAACCAUCACUACCAGUCUACCACGGGAAGCCACCAAAAAUAUUUUUUUUGCAAAUAAAAAGUAAUUAUUCAAGUAAGGUUAAUACGCUAGCUAUUUCAUGGAAAAGGUGUAUGGCCUUGCUUAAAAGAACAAUGGUAUUCACGUUGGGUUCCUUUGUGGAAUAUUUCCACAUUAGUUAAGUCUUUAGAGUGUUCUGUAUUUUUUUUAAAUUUAUUCUGAGAUUUAACGACCAUAUUCUUUAAGUGGUGUGUGAUAUGUCUGUCAAUAGUGAAGUGUUCAUAGUGAUUUCAUCAAUCUUGAGAUUUGUUGGC
rnacentral:lncRNA from 1 species